CCUCACACAUGCUAGGCCAGUGUCUCCCACUGAGCCCCAGCCCAGCCCCCGGCCCAGCAUCAAAGCUGUCUCCACACCAAGCUGUCUUCUUCAAGGUUCCAGAGCUCUUCCCUCCCAGAGGACCCAGAAGACCCGCCAAGGUUGGCCGUGGAUGGGGUACUUCAGAUGCGGCUCCUCUGGUAAACUGGUUCUGGCCUCUUCCAAGUGCUCUGUUCCACCAGCAAAUGCCUCCUGAAGCUGUGUCCGUGUUGACAGUUCAGUGGGAUCUUCCCAUGUCCCUGACCACUGGCCAGAGGGUCUAACUAAGUUGCUGAAGCUGGACUUGAACUUGCGAUUGUCCUGCCUCAGCCCCCAG